UAGGUUUGUCUUAAGUCAAACUUCUUUAAGUUUGACCAUGUAUAUCUAAAAAGAUAUUAAUAUCUACAACAUCAAAUAUAUAUAGUAUGAAAAUAUAUUUUGUGGUGAAUAUAACAAAACUAAUUUGGUGUUGCAAAUGUUGGUAUAGUUUCCAAUAGACUUGGUCAAACUUAAAGAUGUUUGACUUAGGACAAAUCUAG
rnacentral:pre_miRNA from 1 species